CCUCACUCACUUAUAUGCACAUAUUGUGGA
rnacentral:piRNA from 1 species